UACGUAGGGGGGCAAGCGUUGUCCGGAAUCAUUGGGCGUAAAGAGCGUGUAGGCGGUUCGGUAAGUCAGCUGUGAAAGUCCAGGGCUCAACCCUGGGAUGCCGGUCGAUACUGCCGGACUAGAGUUCGGAAGAGGCGAGUGGAAUUCCUGGUGUAGCGGUGAAAUGCGCAGAUAUCAGGAGGAACACCGAUUGCGAAGGCAGCUCGCUGGGACGUUACUGCGCUGAGACGCGGAAAGCGUGGGGAGCAAACAGG
rnacentral:rRNA from 1 species